UACAGAGGGGGCAAGCGUUAUUCGGAAUUAUUGGGCGUAAAGGGCGCGUAGGCGGCUUGGCAAGUGGAUGGUGAAAUCCCUCGGCUUAACCGGGGAACUGCGUCUGAUACUGGAUGGCUUGAGUUUGGGAGAGGGAUGCGGAAUUCCAGGUGUAGCGGUGAAAUGCGUAGAUAUCUGGAGGAACACCGGUGGCGAAGGCGGCAUCCUGGACCAACACUGACGCUGAGUGAGCGAAAGCCAGGGGAGCAAACGGG
rnacentral:rRNA from 1 species